AAUGUACCAAAUUACAAUGGAAGAGCAUGCUGAGUGCAGUGGCUCAUGCCUGUAAUCCCAGCACUUUAGGAGGCUGUGGUGGAUAGAUCACUUGAGGUCAGGAGUUUGAGACCAGCCUGGCCAAUAUGAGGAAACCCCGUCUCUACUAAAAAUAUGAAAAUUAGCUAGGUGUGGUGAUGCGCACCUGUAAUCCCAGCUACUCAGGAGGCUGAGGCAGGAGAAUCACUUGAACCCAGGAGGUAGACAUUGCAGUGAGCUGAGAUCAUACCAUAGCACUCAAGCCUGGGCAACAGAGUGAGAGUCCAUCUCAAACAAACAAACAAAAAAGGAAAAGCAGCAUUAGAAAGAAAACCUGGACUGGGACGGUUGUGCCCUAAAGGGGCAAACGAAAAAAAAAGAAGAAGAAAGACUAGCAACAAUCCAGAAGUGUUGUGGAUAACAAUUUUUAAGAAGCAGCCAUUCUCUAAGUUUAUUAGGGUGUUAAAGAAAUGAAGUUCCCUCUCACAUACACACACUCAAGAAUACAAGUCUCAGGAGAACUUGCUCUGUGUGAAGAAUUCUCAUAUUCAUGCUCGAGGAGCAUGCACUCCGGGCCUUGUGUUCACAAAGGCUAUGAGAGCCCUGGGGAGAGUAGGUUCUCUGAGGGUAGGACACAUACUUUGGCAGCUUGGGGGACACAUUCUGGAGCUGGUGUCUCUGGAGUCCAUGUGAGUUGGGCCUGUGGGGGUCCCACAGACAGGGACCCCUGGCAUUGCUGACGGGUGAAGGGCCUGCCACAGCAGUCUCUGACAUUACUUUCUCACACCACCUUUCCCGCUCGCUCGCACAGCAGUAGACACACAGGAUAUGAAGCAGCAGCUCUUCCUCAUCCUGCCAUCAAACAGUCUGUUUCCGCCUUCGCCUUUCUGCGUCCGACCUUUCACAGGGACCAAGAGAAGAGCCUAAGGAGCAGCAGGCAACGUGCUGUGCAGAGUCAGGUCAAGACUGGGUUUGUCUGAGCAGCCAGGAAGAGGGCUGUGACCAGGGCUCUGAGAAACAGGGACAGGGGCCAGCCUGACAAAAAGAACAAAGACCUGCCCGGGGAAGGUGAAGAAGGGAACUGUUAACCCUUCAGAAAGUGACAUGGCUUUUAGUAAGGUGAAGGCCGGCCUGUAAAACAUGCCAGCCAAGUAGAUUUUAAUCGAAGGGUGGGAAUGACCUGCUGGCCUGAUCAGGCACCCGGGCUUCUGAGAUUGCCUUCCUAGCCCUGCCCACACACACUCCCCGCCCGACGCCCUUUCCCUAGCCUAAGUCCCUGAGUUUCUCGUCCGUUGUUCACUUGAGUCUACUGUAUGUCCUUUUCGUCCAUUCGAGGGGGGCUAAUUAGCUGUUAAGGCAGACUCCAGUUCAUUUCUGUUCACCUCAUUAUUUAUUUCUCUUUUGGGCUGAAGCCCAGCAACAAACAAACAUUAACAUUCCCCCUGCAGAGCAGGCAUACAGACACACGGGAGCGUGUUACGCACAGCACACUCUCACAGCAUGCACACGUGCACACGCACACACACCUGCUCCGCUGCUAUCCUGCUGUGCGAGGUCUCUGCGGCCCCGCUCUCUCAGGGCAUCUAGGGUAACACCGCUUUCCAUUUCAGACCUGGGACUCGGAAAAACGUAACAAACGGUGUAAUGGAAUGGCCCUGGGCAAGCAGGGAAAGGACGCUGGGAAUUUCGGAAAGCACAGUCCCCCCGCCCAGCACCCGUUAAGGGCCGCUGCUGCUGGUGUCCUGCACGCAGCCGUUUCCUCCUCCCGCCCUCCUGUUCCCCGGGCCGCCUGGGCACCGGCGCCUGCACUCUGCAUUCAUUGCAAUACCGCAAACCCUGUUUCUAGCCGUUUACAAUCAAGUGGGAGACCGUCCAAAUUUCCGUCUCAAUGGAGAUCAACUGUUCUAAAUCCAAGCUCCCAUGAAGCGUUCCAGGGGCCGGCCUGACUUGGAAUUUAAGCAGCAGCUCCGCCCUCCAUGGAGUGAGCGGCGGCCGGGGCUCCGGAUGAGGCGGGCCUGCCCCCUAGCGACCACGGUGCUGCACGGCAGCUCUGAGGGCUCGCGGGCUGUGCAGCCGCCUGUCAGCUCCUCCCGAGGACGCGGGGAGGAGACACAGGAAGAGAGUCGUUCAGUCCCCAAGUCCCAUCCCCUUUCCCUCCCCGACAUCUCUCCUCGUUGCCCCACUCCGGCUCCGCCGAGCUGCAGUGGUCUGUUAGCUGGACUCUGACUCCAGCUUCGGUGUGGAAUCCAUGCACCUCGCUGCAGGACAUUCGUUGUCGAUCCUCUGUGAUCUCUAAUUAAGGCCCUGCUGAGCCUCCUCUUUAUCUACAGGGAGGGUCCUCAGCGGGGAGACACGCCCUUCCUGGAGAGGCGCUCCGCCAGACACCCGAGACUGGGCGGGCGGCGUUUCUCCCCACACGCCCACCGGAGGAGAAGACGACCCUCCCCGCGCUCGGGCUGAACCGCUGUUGCUGAGCUGCAGUUCCGGAGGUGUCCUGUCGCUCAAAUGUGGGGACGCGGGGGAAAGAUACAGAAGACAGGGUAUGUGUGGAUGUUGUCACGGGGUUUGAGGGAAGCACGUCUCACACAUGUGAGAACCCAAUCAUCACAUUUAUGAACUACAAAAGGAUCAGCAUUUUAAAAUUAGUAAUUUGUGAAUUUUUCUCAUUCCAGAGAGCCUCUGCCAAAUUGCGUAAGCUCCUACACAACGCAUAAGUACCUCUGGUGAUCAGGCAACAGUCACAAUCAAGACUGCAAAUGAUAUUUACCAAUUUGUCUGGUUACUUUGGAAGUUCUUUCAACAUCCGGCUUUAAAAGGGCAAGAAUAUUAAGCAAGGUGAAUUGAGGCUGCUUUACUGAAUACCUACAUAGUUUGUUAAGUGAACACAAACUAAUGUUAAAGUAGAACGCUUCUCACCUCAGUUUCUCCGGAGGGUCUGACAUGUGGCUCUCAGGUACCAAUGUGUGCAUGAGACAGAACACUGUAAGAGGAAUCUAAAACAAAACGAACCCUGAUGUUUGGGUUUGGUUUCCACAUUUAAGGCCAUUUAUCCAAGGACUUCUUUCUCUCUUCAAGAAUAUAAAAGGUUUUUUUGAAGAGUAAGAAGAAAAAAGAAAGAUUCUAGUGAGAAGGGUUUUUUGGAGAAGUUUUUGUUGUGAGCCUGAAAGUCCUGUAUCUCGAGAGAAAAUAAGGGGUGAGGGGACACCUGAGCCUCUCUCAAGUUUUGAGGCCAUUCCGAGAGCCUAAUAUGUGUUACCUGAAGUUCGAAAGACAGUGAGCCGAGAGCUGAUUUCUGCCCCAGAAAAUCUGCAGAGUAAGAGAGAAGCUGGCCAGUUGUGUUGAGGAUGAUGGAGCCAAAGCAAGUAGCUGCUAUGUCUGGGAAAUUCCCACCACCUCAAGCCCCUGCAGUGGAAGGACAAGGCAUGUUCCCUCAAUGUAGGACACGAUAGAGGACCAGCGAUCCUGAGGCUGUGUUAGGAUCUACCAGAGAGGACCUCGUAGAAAGGGCAAUGGGACUCCACUGUGUGUGUGGGUGGAUCCUCUAAAGUGGGAGUUGCCAGCAGAAAAAGGGGCAUCAACACAGCUCCAGAGAUCCCACAGAGGGGGUACCCCCCAAAAGAAUGCUCAAGAGAAUAUCAGCCUUAAACAUCAGCCACAUUCAGCACAAAGCCAAAUAAUGGCAGAUAGAGCUGAGUAAGAAAAUUCUCUUCUACUAUUUUUGGUUCCUCUCUUUAUGUCCCAACCCUAGAGGCAAGUCUAAUGAGGAAGGAGCAGGAAAACAGAAAUGAAGAACAAGCCUUCCUCUCUCACUGCAGGUAGCCAGCUCACACUGGAGCUGCCCAAGAAAGGGAGACCAUUCAACACUAAAUAAAAUGUAGGGUUUUAGGUUUUUCCAGGGCUAGGUAUUCUAAUGUGUGUAUUUAGGCUGUGUUUGUGACUUAGAAUGACCACAGGACAGACUGUAAAUUACCUUGGGGUGAACUGUAUUCCUCCAAGGCAGGGAAAGAUUGCCAUAUGAAAUAAACUUUAUAGGAUCAAUAAGAACAAAAUCAAGUUGUGUUUUUACCACAUUCCACAUGUCAAAUUUUUUACAUUAAGAAGAACGUAUUAGAAAGCUAUAAAUAAAAUGUUGAUAAUGGUAUUGUUCUGAUACCAUUUUCUGAUCCUUUUGCAUUGGGCUUUAGUGGAAUCCAUAUUCCUAAGUGGCCGGAUUCAUGUCUCUGUCUUGAUAUUAAUCUGAAUCAUUCAUUCAUUAACCCAACAAGUAUUUAUUGAGAUCUGACAAGUUCAGCUUCCUAAGCUCUGCUUUAGACAUGCCAGCACCCCUUCUCAAGAACCUUCCGUGACUCCCCACAGCUUACAACAGACAGGAAUAUCAGUAGGGUAAGGCUUUACCUCACCUCCUCCCUCUCUCAUUGCGUGUUCUGAUAUAUGCCUUAGGGGCUGGGGUGUGUCCUUACCUCCCCUUUCAAGAGCCCACCCUCAGUGCUGCCCUAAAAGCCACUGUGAUGUGUCAGAGGAUUCAUUUAAUUUGCUCUUAGCAGAGCCCCUAUCCUUUGCCCACCUAAAUCACUUGGCUAAAAAGGGAAUUGAAUUAUAUUUCAUUUAGAUUCAACUUACAUUUUCUUUUUUUUAUUAUUAUUAUUAAGCCAGGAAUUUGAUAUCCUCUCUUGGCAGCAGCCCAGCAGUAAUCACUUUAGCCCAGAUCCUUUCUCUAAUGCUGUAUCCUGGGGAAGGAAAGCUUAUGGGGAUUUCAUGAGUGGUCCUGGUGAAAUGACAGUUUAUUUAUCUCCAGGGACUCUUUAGUCUCCGCCUCUUGCACCUGGCCCUGACAGAAGGUUUGGGGGCUUUGGGGUCAAAGCAGUUUGUUUGGGAGAAGAAGGACAGGAACAGCAGUUAUAAAUGUCUGACUGCAGCCCACUUGUAAGAGAUCUUUGCAGUUCAUACAAAUGAAGUGGAUUGAAAUGCACUAUUCUAGAACAAUAUGCCUCCCUAGUGUCUCCCCUGCAGCCUCCACAUACCCUGUUUGGGAGAGUAUUAAAAUGAAUUUUUGGCUGAGCACGGCAGCUCACACCCGUAAUCCCAGCACUUUGGGAAGCCAAGGUAGGUGGAUCACUUGAAGUCAGAAGUUCAAGACCAGCCUGGUCAACAUAGUGAAAACCCAUCUCUACUAAAAUUACAAAAAUUAGCUGGGCAUGGUGGCACAUGCCUGGAAUCCCGGCUGCUAAGGAGACUGAGGCACAAGAAUACUUGAACCUGGGAGGCAGAGGUUGUGGUGAGCCAAGAUCAGCUGCUGUACUCCAGCCUGUGCCACAAGAGCCAGACUCUAUCUCAAAAAAAAAAAAAAAAAAAAAAAAGAAUUUUUGACUUAAGUGUGAUUAUCCUGUUGCAGCUUAUUGUACAUCCAAAAUACAAGUAUUGGAAGGCAUUACAAAAUCAAGUUAACUGUACUCUGCCCAGGGUGGCUGGAGCUCGACAUUGCCCUGAAUGCACGUGCUGGUUCUGCUUCCCCACCACCAGGUAGGACAGACCGCACACCUGGAAUAGCUUCUCCUUUCUCCCAACCUAACUGAAUAUUCCUCACCAUCAACCCCUAGCUAGAGACUGUCUCCACCGUGAAGGCUUACGCGUAACAAUUUGUUCAAUUGUUUGUUAACAGAAACUCAACUACGUUAUUUUAACCAAAUAGGGUUUUUUUCUCAUGCACCAAGAAGUCCGGAAGCAGACAGCCCAGGGCUGCCACUGCUGCUCAGAGAAAUCACCAAGGACCAGGCUGUUUCUAACGUCCUUCUCUGAUAACCUCAGCGACCACUUUUGAUCUUCCUGGUGGUAAGAUGACUGUUCUACUCUAGGCGUUGCGUCUGGGGCCCAGGCAAAGAGAAGGAGCAGGGCAAAGGGGCAAAGGUGCAUGCCAACUGAGUUUUGCCUUUAUACCAAGAAAAUAAUUGCUUUCCUAGAAGCCCCACUCACCAGACUUCCUCUGUCAUCUUGCUGGCCAGAACUCGAUUGGGUGACCACUUCUUUCCGAGCACAUGGCUUUCCUAAACAAAAUUGGCAUGCUAUUAGAAAGGAGGAGGAGAUGGAAGAAGAUGAGAGAAACAACCAGCCGUGCCUACCACUCCUUCAGCCUAUUCCAGUCCGUUGGAACUUAACCCUCCUCUGAGCAACUAUUUACAGUCAUCCCGCCCUAUCCUGAGGGGACACUUUCCAAGACCUCCAGUAGAUGCUUGAAACCAAGGAUAGUAUCAAGCCUUAUAAAUACUGUUUUUUUCCUUAUAUGUACAUACCUGUAACAAAGUGUAACCUAUUAAUUAGGCACAAUAAGAGAUUAAUGAUUAUAACUAAUAAAAUAAAGCAUUUAUAACAAUAUACUGUAAGAAAGGUUAUGUAAAUGCAGUCUCUCUCUUUCUCUCUCAAAAUACCCUAUUAUAUUGUACUCAGCCUUCUUCUUGUGAUGUGUCCACGGUUGGAUGUCAGGAGCAGACAAUGUCAAUAAUUAACGGCUAGGUAGCACAUACAGUGUGGAUACACUGGACAAAGGAGUGAUUCAUAUCCCCACAGGACAGAGUGGGGCGGUGUGAUAUUUCAUAACGCUGUUCAAAAUGGUAUGUAAUUUAAAACUUAUAGAUUGAUUAUUUCUGAAAUGCUUAAUUUAGUAUUUUCAGACCAUGGCUGAUCAUGGGUAACAAACCAUGGAAAGAAAACUGCUGAUAAAGAAAAUACUGUAUUGCGGCCGGGAGUGGUGGCUCACGCCUGUAAUCCCAGCACUUUGGAAGGCUAAGGUGGGCGGAUCACUUGAGGUUGGAAGUUCGAGACUAGCCUGACCAACAUGGAGAAACCCCAACUUUAAAAAAAUAAAAAAAAAGAAAAUACUGUAUUACAGUUUGUGUGCAGCAAGAGUCCACGUCUAUAUCCCCCAUAAUACAGUGCUGAGCACAUGGUAAAUGUUCCAUUGACUAAUACUACAAAUUCCAUAUAGGCAACAUGGCGUAAUGGUACUAGCUAGGCUUUGGAGUCAAGUAGCCUGUGCUUGAAUCCCAACUCAGCCACUUGCCAUUUAUUAGUCCUGUAAACUUGACCAAGUACUUAACCUCUCUGUUCUUCAAUUUCCCCAUCUGUAAAAUGCAAAUAAUGUGUUAAUACAUAUAGACAAGCCUUGGCAUUCUGGGGAUUGGUCCCAGGGCGCCCCCUAUACCAAAAUCUGUGAAUGUGCUAGUAUCUUUCAUAAAAUGGCAUAGUAUUUGCAUAUAACCUACCCACAUCCUCUCAUAUUCUUUAAAGCAUCGCUGGAUUACUUACAAUACCUUGAUCCAAUGCUUACACAUCACUUUAUUCAUGUGGAGUCAAUGUAGUACUCAGUGCCUGGUAAUUUCAAGUUUUUCUCUAUGGAAAUUUGUGCGAUUUCCCCCCAAAUGUUUUUUGUCUGAGGUUAGUUGAAUCUACAGAUACAGAACCCACAGACAUGGAGGGUUGCCUGUACUUAAUGCAGUUGUUAUAAGGAUUAAAUUAGAUUAACCCUAAUAUUAAUUUAAUAAAUUAACUUUAAUAGAACAGCUACAAUAGUAAGCACUAUGUAAGUGUGUAUUCAAUGAAUACAUGAUUGUCACCUAUGGUUAAAACAUUACCAGAAAUUGGGACCCAGAAUUUGACAAGUUAGAGCAUCUUCAUGGACUAAAGGAACAGAAUGGUUGAAGCCAGGACUGCUGAGGUCGAUUAAGAUGCAUGCUACAACCGCAGGUGAGACAUCAAUAAAGGGACCUAGUGACAUGUGGGUCAGAGUUGAGGCUUUAAGGUUAGGAUGCCAAAUCCAGCCACUAGCUUCCUACUUAUUAACUGUGCUCCCUGGGCAAAUCACUGAAUCUGUCUAAGGUUCAGUUUUCUCAUAUGUAAAAUUAGGAUAAAAAUAAACAGAGCCUCCCCUUAGGUGUUUUGAAGAUUAAGUAGAAAACUAUGUAGGGUACUUAACAUUAUCCACGGUAUGUCUGAAUAAAUGUUCAUUUUGUUAAGAAUCAGGACCUAUAAUUGAGAAGCCAACUGGACCAUUUGACCUUGGCUGAAGGGGGUGCAGGAGUGCAGAAUGAAGUUUUGCCAUGAAUGUAGAUUCUCCCUUACAAAUCUUUCCAUUUUCAAACCCGAGGCGAGAAAUUGGAGCUGAGGGAAAAGUAUCCGAGCUGCAAAGUUGUUUGGCCUUCCUGGGGCGUUAUGAGGCACAGGAAUGAGCCAGUGCCCUCUAGUUUGAGUUCUGACAAUGGAUUCUUUUUUUAAAAAAUGGAACAAAUGGAGCUCUCCUAAGAAACAUUUACUUUAUUUUCUUAGACUGGCAAUAUAGAGCCAGGUGCAGUGGCUCACUCCUGUAAUUCCCACACUUUGAGAAGCCAAGGCAGGAGAAUUGCUUGAGUGCAAGACUUCAAGAACAGCCUAGGCAACUUAGUGAGACCCACCCCCCAUCUCUACAAAAAUAUUUAAAAAUCAGCCAGGCAUCGUGGCUCAUGCCUGUGGUCCCAGCUACUUGGGAGUCUGAAGUGGGAGGAUUGAUUGCUUGAGCUGAGGAGGUCAAGGAUUCAGUGAGCCGUGAUUGUGUCACUGCACUUCAGCCUCGGUGACAGAGCAAGACCCUGUUUCACAAGGAACAAAAACAAACAACAACAACAAAAAUAACUGGCAUAUAGCAGACAAUUGUUAUCUCUGGAAGCUCAUCCACUCCCAUCUCCUAUAAGAUAUGUCACACACACACACUCUUCCAGGAAACUAAGAGGCUAAAUAUUUUAGCCAACAUCAUGGAGUUAGUGGAAUCUAAACCCCAGAUUUAUAACUAUUUUUUUUUUAAAAAAAGGAUCUUGCUUUAUCACCCAGGCUGGUGUGCAGUGGCAUAAUCACAGCUCACUACAGCCUCAACCUCCCAGGCUCAAGCGAUCCUUCCACCUCAGCUUCUUAGUAGCUGGGAUUACAAGUGUGCACCACCACACCUGGCUUUUCAAAUUUUUUAUUUGUUGCAGAAAUGAGGUCUUGCUAUGUUGCCCAUGUUGGUCUCAAACUCCUGGCCUCAAGUGAUGCUCUCACCUGAGCCUCAUAAAGUGCUGAGAUUACAGAUAUGAGCCACUGCGCCAAACCCUUCUACCUUUAAAUUUGUGGUUUGUUACAUUUCAAAACAAUUUUCUCUGUUAUGAAAUCAAACGUAAUGUGCGUUUCCUAUAAUCUCUACCUAAACUCCUCCUCUUAAAUAGCUUAUGAUAUACUGUUGCAAACAGAAAUAGAUGCCCUAGACAGAAGAUCAGAUGUCUUCAAUCCUAUUAUCCACGUAUCCCUAAUUCCAUGAGAAGUUUCAGAGGGCAACAUAUGUGUGGAAGGGAGUGUGGAGCCAAGGGACAUUUUGAUAGACCUUGGGCAUUGGCCUCAAACACUACUACACUCCACUGGCAGGCAAGGCUAAGUCAGGUUACGUGGCCCAGAGCCUAGAAAUAAAAUGGGUAAUAGCCUACAUGACCUCCUCUCUAAGUGCCACCUGAGUCUCAGCCCCGCUCAUCCCAGCACUCAAUGGUCAGGUAAGACCAAUCCAGUGAUAAUCAGAAGAGGUGACAGAGAGAGCUUGUGUGUGUGCCAAUGUACAGGUCAGAGCUGCUCUGGGCAGCCAGCCCCAGCCCUCAGAUAAACUCAGCACAGCCCUUCUUGCUUACCCAGGAAGAUGGGAAAGGGAGAGAGUGAAGAAGCAAGAGAGAAUAAAAUGAAGAAGCUCAGACUUCUCCUUCUUCCUUUCCUCUCUAGAAGAAAACCAUCUCAAGAGCCAGAAGUGGUAUAGGCGCCUAAGUCAGGCUUAUUCAAGCUCCACUUGUAAUGCUCCAUGCCCUAAAUAAUAUGACUCAAGACUGUCCCUGAACAUGGCUGAUCCACGGGAACAUCCUUCCCCCUGGAUAGUCUCAGAGGUGGGUUAGGGGAGCACCAUGAGCUUUUUCAGCCUACAAGCCAACCUAUUUUAUUUUAUAUUCUAAUGUCACUAUGUCAGAACUUAAUAG